rnacentral:rRNA from 1 species
UACGUAGGGUGCAAGCGUUGUCCGGAAUUAUUGGGCGUAAAGAGCGCGUAGGCGGCCUGUCGCGUCGGCUGUGAAAACCUGGGGCUCAACCCCGGGCCUGCAGUCGAUACGGGCAGGCUAGAAUUCGGUAGGGGAGACUGGAAUUCCUGGUGUAGCGGUGAAAUGCGCAGAUAUCAGGAGGAACACCGGUGGCGAAGGCGGGUCUCUGGGCCGAUACUGACACUGAGAAGCGAAAGCGUGGGGAGCGAACAGG